UCCUAUUGACCCCCUGGCAUAUUUAUAGCCUCUCUCUUUCUGCUGAGACUGGUAGUUUUCACCUUCCCUUCCCUGUGUUGUGUUUAUUCAGCAGCACGCUAAAUCACACCCGGGCACAAGUGGAGCAUUCAUCAGGAACCACGAGCCCCUCUUUCAGUCUGCCAAACCUAUCCAAUUACUGGGGCUGGAAGAGCCUGCACAAACCCUUCUGCCAGAUGAACCUUCUUGCUGUGAUUCAUAAACAUGGCUGUACCUCUAAAUAGACUGGGACUUCCUUUUGGUACUAUGAUCAUCCCUAAUUAUUUCGUCCACUUCAACUCUCCCCAGCUCUGAACGUUCCUUAAUUCCUGGAUGUGACUUCCAAUUAAUUUUGACCCAGGCAGUAUAUUCUACAAUGCUUGACUUCAGGGCUACACUUUCCAGAAAGACCUCAAAUCAGACUUUCAGCUAACUCCCUUGUGGAGAAGGUAGUGGCUAUAUGCAUACUGGCUUUGUAAUCGUUGCUUAAGCCGUAUUUGUGCUGUGCAUUUUUUAUUAACUCCUAUGCAUCGCCAGGACCCUGAAGGUGUCAUACUCUUCCUGACAGGACCUACCAGCUUGACGGAGAGCUCUAUCCCCAUUUCCUAAAGAAGAAACCUGAUCCUUGGAAAUGUUCAGUGGCUGCCCCAAGGUAAUACAGCUGGUAAAUGAUGUCGGCACAACCUCUUGUGCUCUUGCCUCCUGCCACAAGAACAUAUGUCCCAGAAAAGGGCCACUCCAUCAGCCUAGGUCCAGAAAUGAGAGGACACAUGGACUGAACUUGAAGAUGGCCCACAGCAGACCUGCAGUCAACUCUCAGCCUUUAUGUAAUGCGGGAAAGAAGGAAAUGUGAAUAUUAUAGACUACUAAAAUUCUAAAGUUGUAACAUAGCAAAAUGAUCGAUACAAUUAGCAGUGGCAAUCAGUCUAGCAUAUUGUCAUGCUAUAUGCAUGCUAUAAAACUAUUGAACAAAAAUAUCACUAUCCUAUCAUGGACACAUUGGACUUUUCUUUUCUCCUUAUGACUGCAUCACGUGUGAUGAUCAGAAAUGGAGUGAAGACAGAAAAAUAAGAAAAUUCAAGAAUGUGCUACAGAGUGAUCCUCUCCCUCUUAGAGCACCCACAGAAACCACUCAUGGCUUCUCUGUCUGCAUCCUCUCCACACAAACAUAUUCUUUAAGGUACCAGCCCCAUAUCACAUACCUGUAUGUCAGCCCAUAAUAGGCCUUACCUUAGAAGCCAAAGAUCCAUAACUACACAGUAUUCAUGUUGUAUAAUGUGGAGCAGCACCAAA
rnacentral:lncRNA from 1 species